rnacentral:rRNA from 1 species
AUGGCACCACAAUACAAGCUCUCAUGUUUGACAGCUUUGCAUAUGCUGCUAUGCAUAGCCAGUGCAAUCAGCCCGGAAGGAGAAGCACUCCUCCGGUGGAAGUCCACUUUGCUCAAUUCCACCUACCUGUCAUCAUGGUCGCAUGCCGAAUCGACCUGCAAUUGGUUCGGCGUCACCUGUGGCCAUGCCGGCCAUGUUACCGCACUCGACCUAUCCUGGUUAAGCCUCAAUGGCACGCUCGACGCCUUGUACUUCCCGGCGUUCCGGAACAUCACCACACUCGACCUCUGUGGCAACAACCUCGUCGGUACCAUCCCAGAAAACAUAUCGCUGCUGCUCACCUUGACCUACCUGGAUUUGAGCAACAACUAUUUUGUUGGUGUGACCCCCCAUCAACUCGGCAAGCUCCCAUGGAUUCAUUACAUCGAUCUGGGAAAUAACUACUUAACCAACCCAGACCCUGCCAAGUUCUUGCCUUUGUCCACCGUGCAGACCUUACAUCUAAAUGAUAACAAUCUCAACGGCACUUUUCCACAGUUCAUCCUGAACCGCACCAAUGUUAGGUUGGAGGACCUCGACCUAUCAGGUAACUUCUUCUCGGGUUCAAUACCUGAGACUCUGCCAGAUAUGGUUCCAAAUUUACUAUUUCUUGAUAUGUCCUCCAACAUGUUCUCCGGACUCAUACCGAGUGAAUUCGGUAACCUUACUAGUCUUGAGUCCUUGCACCUAUCGUGGAACAUGCUAUCUGGAGGUUUGCCACCAUCCUUUUCAAUGAUGGGCCAAAUUCUAAACUUUGAUGUUGGGAACAACCACCUUCUCAGUGGCAACAUCCCACUAGAAUUGUUUUCAAACUGGACUGAACUUGGCUUUUUCAGUAUUGCAAACAACUCCUUCACCGGAAGCAUUCCACGGGAGAUCAGCAGAUGGGAGUCCCUGCAGUACCUCCUCCUUUCUGGCAACUGCUUCAACAGCUCAAUCCCCACGGAGCUAGGAUCUUCCCUGCGGGUGCUAGACUUGUCCAAUAACCAUCUUACAGGCAUGAUACCAUCGGGGUUUGGUAAAUUAUCAUUCUUAUUACAAUUCCUUGACCUUAGCAGCAACCACUUGGAGGGAGAGAUUCCAGCGAGCUUGUCGCUCCUAUCUGUCAACUACAUAUUCUUGUUCGGUAACAGGUUGACAGGUGUCAUCAACAAGGAUUUCUGUAAGCAACGUCAUCUACAGUUCUUGGACCUAUCAAACAAUCUCCUGUCUGGAAUGCUCCCUGGUUGCUUAUGGAACCUGCCUAAUCUUACAUACAUGGAUUUGUCAAGCAAUGCCUUUGUUGGAGAAGUCACAACCUUGACGAAUGAUGCUUCUCCAUUAGAAUCAGUACAUUUGUCCAACAACAGCUUCUCUGGAUAUUUUCCAUCUCUUAUAAAGAACUUGGAAAGCUUAGUAAUUUUGGAUCUUGGAGACAAUAUGUUUUCUGGCACAAUUCCUUCAUGGAUAGGAGCUAGCCUCUCUAUGCUAAGAAUUCUCCGACUACGGUCAAAUAUGUUUCAUGGAAGUAUUCCUUGGGAGGUAUCACAACUCUCUCAUCUCCAGUUGCUUGACCUAGCUGAAAACAAUCUUACAGGUUCUAUUCCAGUAAGUUUCGCAAACUUUACUUGCAUGAUAGAGACAACGCCAGAAAUGGAUGUAAGUGCUAUCCUUGCAAGCUUUGAAACAUUCGGGGAUAUGCCUUAUAUGUACACUGGUACGCAUUAUUCAUAUGAUGGUCAGAUGGACAUAAUCUGGAAGGGACGCGAUUAUACUUUCCAUAAGACAAUUACGCUUAUGACUGGUAUUGAUCUGUCAAGCAACUUCCUUUCAGGUGAGAUUCCUGCUCAGUUAGUAAAUCAUCAAGCCCUGCGGUUCCUGAACCUAUCAAGAAAUAAUUUAUCCGGUGGUAUCCCAAAAAACAUUGGGAGUUUGAAAAAUGUGGAGUCUCUUGACCUCUCCUGGAAUAAACUCUCGGGCCGUAUUCCUCCAAGCAUAUCAGAUUUGUUGUGCCUAAGCUUGCUCAAUAUGUCCAACAAUCUACUAUCAGGAGAGAUACCUACAGGCAAUCAGCUCCAAACACUCAAUGACCCGUCAAUAUACAGCAACAACCUGGGACUUUGUGGUCUCCCCCUGAGCACUCCAUGCAAGCAUGAUUCAAGUUCUGCAACAGUGCUGGAUCAGCCAAAUGAACAUGACCAUGAACUUGAAACUUUGUGGCUGUACUACUCAGUGAUUGCUGGAACUGUCUUUGGUUUCUGGAUAUGGUUUGGAACAUUGUUUUUCUGGAACAUCUGGAGGAUUACGUUCUUCAAUUGCAUCGAUGCCAUGCAGCAGACUGUUAUGCAAAAGAUGGUGUCUACCUGGCAGUAUGACACUCUGUUUCCCGCUUUUAGGCGUUCAUGA